AUGAGGCAUGGCCUAUCUCUUCCUUUCUAUCAUAGCCUGAUGUAGUUUUUCAGGUUCCUUUGGGUCCCCUUGGCUGAGAGUGGAGUCCAUUCGGUCAGCUGGGGGAAUUUAGACUUUUACUUUUGGUUUACAGGGUGAAUAACAACAUCAAGAAGAAAAUGGAAGCUAUCAGAAAAGCCUCUACCAUCCCCACCACAUCUACCUGUCUACCUGUGUGUGUUCCUAAACUCCAGCUUCUCUCAUGAAAGAACUCUCCAUGCAUCUGGCUUAAGGUCAUCCCAUCCCUGAUCUCCACUUAAGUAGAUAACUUGUUUUGCAUUUUACAGGUUCAUGGCUGGAGGGAGCUUGCCUUGAGACUCAAAUGAGAUUUUGAACUUUAAACGAUCGAGUUGUUGCUGAAACAGGUAAGACUUUGCAGCUAUAGGGUGAUUGUAUUUCGUACUUGAAAAAGACAUGAGUUUGAGGGGCCAGGGGCCGAAUGCUAUUGGUUUGACUGUGUCCCCUCUGAAACUUAUGUUGAAAUUGGAUUCCCAAUUUGGCAGUGUUUGGAGGUGGGCCUACUGCGAGGUGUUUGAAACAUGGGAGUACUGCCCUCAUGAAUAGAUUAAUGCUGUCUUAAAGGAGUAAGUUCUUGCUCUUGCAGAAAUUAAUUAGUUCCCAUGAGAGUGGGUUGUUAUAAGUGAGCCCAGCCUCUCAUGCGUGUCCCUUUGCACUCAUCUGCUCGCCUUACUGCUUGUCUGCUAUGUUGUGAUGUAGCACAUGGCCCUAACUAAAAGGUGAGCAGAUAACAGUAUCAUGCUCUUGGACUAGAAUUGUCACCAGAAUUGUGAAACAAAUGAAUCUAUUUUCUUUAUAAAUUACCCAGUCUCAGGGAUUCUGUUACGGCAACACAAAAUGGACAAAGACAGGAGGUAAUUAGCAUUAGAUAAGAUCCUCAGGGUAGGAACCUCAUGAGAUUGGCAGCUUUAUAAGAAGAGGAAGAGAGACCUGAGCUGGAACAUUUGCUCUGUCUUGCCACAUAAUGUCUCUUGCCAAGUCAUGACACAGCAGGAAGGCCCUCAUUAGAUACCUGUGCCAUGCUCUUGGACUUCCCAGCUUCCAGAAGAGUGAGCUAACUAAAUCUCCAUUCUUUAUAAAAUUACCCAUUCUGCAGAAUUGAAAUAUCGCAACAGACAAUAUUUUAAGACAAUUACAUCUUCAGACAAUUAAGG
rnacentral:lncRNA from 1 species